rnacentral:piRNA from 1 species
UACAUGUUGAGGACUGGUCUGAAGC